AGGAGAAAAAAACCCUAUUGGCUCAUUUAAUACAGUACUCCCUCUACACUUUAGGAAGAUUCCAUAAGUAUGGUUUCACAAUUGUAGACAGUGUUCUCUACCCAUUCAUUGAUCCUUUCAGCAAAUACAUGUGGCCUUAGCGUCCUGAAUUCUGACACUGGCCUAUGCAGUUCCCUAGAGUGGGUGCUGUGAAUAGAAGCAUCAGAGCCAUCAGAGGUUUCUGAUUUCUUGGCCUCACCUUCAGAACAGCUGAACAUCAGCUCUAGGAAGUGGGACCAAGCAACGUGUAUCUAUCUUCCCUGGCUUCCUGGGUGAUGCUUAUUCCCCGAGAUUGGCGACUCUGCCCCAGUGGAACAAGCAUGAGCAGGGCACAAGCACUCCUUGUCUCUGAGGAACUUCAAUUGCAUACUUCUUGCAACUUUGUGAUGAAAAAGCAGUUAACCUAAGAAACAAUCCAGCAUUCCUUAAUCCAGUCACCUCCAAAAGCACAUGAAAAAAGUGAGGACAAUAAAGAUAUGCUGUUUGACAUCUUGCAGGUAAGAAAGACUGAGGACAGUGGAACACUCAGCACAGCCCCUAUGGGACUAGGCUGACAAGAGAGGCUGCUCUUCACAUAUCUGAAUUCCUUCUUUUUGGAUCAAAUUCAGGACCCUGCUCUUGCAAGGCAGGUGGCGGAAUUACUCAGCUAAAUCCACAGCCCCACACAUCUGAAUUUUGAUUUGUGGUUUCUACCUUUCUUGAGGCACUAGAUAAACAGGGUUAAUAUUCCUGGUGAUUCCUGUACUCUCUCCCAUCAGGGCCUCCUGCAGCACGGAGGCACUUCCAGAGACCACCAGCUGCAGAGAAAAGUCUUCUCUAAGGAGACAGAAGCCUGGUUCCAGGGGUGCCCAGUAGAGGUGGCUGUGUAGACUGAUGUAGACUGUUGCCCCUCAGAGUGGCAGUAGACAAGGUUCUAGACCACCUCAGCUGCCACCAGUCAGUCCAUGAUUUUCAGAAAAUUGCAGAUCUUAUCCUUUCUCAGUUUUCUCAUCAGCCAAAUAGUAGCGCUGUUCAUCUGUUAUACAAAGCAGAUGUGAAAAACUAUGUGAUAAUGGCGUGGCAUUGCUUGGAAGUUAUAAGUAUAUCUU
rnacentral:lncRNA from 1 species